rnacentral:rRNA from 1 species
AACGAACGUUAGCGGCGCGCCUAAUACAUGCAAGUCGAGCGAGAAAGGGCUUCGGCCCCGGUACAGCGGCGCACGGGUGAGUAACACGUAGGUAAUCUUCCCUCGAGUGGUGGAUAACCCUCGGAAAGGAGAGCUAAUACAGCAUAAGACUACGGCCUUGAGUAGGCUGCGGUCAAAGCAGGCCACUACAUGUAAGCUUGCGCUUGAGGAUGAGCCCGCGGCCCAUCAGCUAGUUGGUAGGGUAAUGGCCUACCAAGGCAUAGACGGGUAGCUGGUCUGGGAGGAUGAACAGCCACACUGGAACUGAGACACGGUCCAGACUCCUACGGGAGGCAGCAGUAGGGAAUCUUGCGCAAUGGGCGAAAGCCUGCCGCAGCGACGCCGCGUGAGCGAUGAAGGCCUUCGGGUUGUAAAGCUCUGUGGGGAGAGAAGAAUAAGUGUUGGCUAAUAUCCAGCAUGAUGACGGUAUCUCCUUAGCAAGCACCGGCUAACUCUGUGCCAGCAGCCGCCGUAA